GAUCGACCUGCGAACGGAACGGAACUGUCAGUGCUAACAAGAGCCUCUUCGUUUCGUUGUGCUGUUUUUGGUGCUGAGUGUUUGUAAAAAGUUACUAGCUUUUGGUUUUGUUUUGGUGCUUGUGUACAAUAGAAUUACAGAGGCAUGGCCCGGGGGCAGCGGCGGUAUUCCCGAAAAAAUAGGAAAGCUGAAAUUUAGAAGAAAAAAAAUAUUAAAUAAAGAUAUAAGAAGAGAUGUAAGAAGGCAAGCAGACAAUGGGAUGGUAUGUCUGCAAAGCCAAUCAUAAAGAACCAAAUAAACUGCUUAUGGGCUUAUGGUUAUAUUAAACCGAUUGCAUGUAUCUAUAUACUCUAAGCAUGUAUCAUAUUUGUUUUCUCAGCCUCACACUUUAACUCAGGUUCGCUGAAGCAUCGGCAAGCUGAAUGUGAGAUGGUAUGUUGAUGUCCUGUACAUUGACACGGAAAUGAGGCAUUGAAGAUGUUAUGUUGGGGACAAUGCAUGAUAGAACAG